rnacentral:rRNA from 1 species
UUGACCUCGGAUCAGGUAGGGAUACCCGCUGAACUUAAGCAUAUCAAUAAGCGGAGGAAAAGAAACCAACAGGGAUUGCUCUAGUAACGGCGAGUGAAGCAGCAAUAGCUCAAAUUUGAAAUCUGGCGUCUUCGGCGUCCGAGUUGUAAUUUGUAGAGGAUGCUUCUGGGCAGCCACCGACCUAAGUUCCUUGGAACAGGACGUCAUAGAGGGUGAGAAUCCCGUAUGCGGUCGGAAAGGCACCCUACACGUAGCUCCUUCGACGAGUCGAGUUGUUUGGGAAUGCAGCUCUAAAUGGGAGGUAAAUUUCUUCUAAAGCUAAAUAUUGGCCAGAGACCGAUAGCGCACAAGUAGAGUGAUCGAAAGAUGAAAAGCACUUUGGAAAGAGAGUUAAAAAGCACGUGAAAUUGUUGAAAGGGAAGGGAUUGCAACCAGACUUGCUCGCGGUGUUCCGCCGGUCUUCUGACCGGUCUACUCGCCGCGUUGCAGGCCAGCAUCGUCUGGUGCCGCUGGAUAAGACUUGAGGAAUGUAGCUCCCUCGGGAGUGUUAUAGCCUCUUGUGAUGCAGCGAGCGCCGGGCGAGGUCCGCGCUUCGGCUAGGAUGCUGGCGUA